GUGAUAUUUUAUGUGAUAUUAUUAGUUGAAUUAUACUACUAUACUAUCAAUAGUACCAAGUCCUUGGUACAAUUGAGUUUUCGACAGUUGGAUGAAAGGAUGUGCGGUUAGGAUGAUAGUGGUCCCCAAUUAAAUUGAUAGUGGUCCCUUAGGGUUGAGUGAGUGGUUGGUUUAAUAGUAUAAUCUAACGGAUAGAAAUGAUCAAAAGGUAAAUCUAAUGAUA
rnacentral:lncRNA from 1 species